ensembl:lncRNA
GCUGAAUACAACAGGUGUAGUAGACCUUACAGUGAAAUGCUGAAUACAACAGGUGUAGUAGACCUUACAGUGAAAUGCUGAAUACAACAGGUGUAGUAGACCUUACAGUGAAAUGCUGAAUACAACAGGUGUAGGUAGACCUUACAGUGAAAUGCUAAAUACAACAGGUGUAGUAGACCUUACAGUGAAAUGCUGAAUACAACAGGUGUAGGUAGACCUUACAGUGAAAUGCUGAAUACAACAGGUGUAGGUAGACCUUACAGUGAAAUGCUGAAUACAACAGGUGUAGUAGACCUUACAGUGAAAUGCUGAAUACAACAGGUGUAGUAGACCUCACAGUGAAAUGCUGACUACAACAGGUGUAGGUAGACCUUACAGUGAAAUGCUGAAUACAACAGGUGUAGUAGACCUUACAGUGAAAUGCUGAAUACAACAGGUGUAGUAGACCUUACAGUGAAAUGCUGAAUACAACAGGUGUAGGUAGACCUUACAGUGAAAUGCUGAAUACAACAGG